rnacentral:tRNA from 1 species
GCCAGCGUAGCUCAGUCGGUAGAGCAAUGCUUUCGUAAAGCAGAGGUCGUGGGUUCGAUUCCCACCGUUGGCU